CACACCCAUACCAGCCUUUGCUCUUCAAUAGCUGUUCAAAUGCACUGGCUAUCAUAUCGGGUUUUGCUACUGGCUCUUUUUGAUGGAGUGAUUUCUCAUGUAGUGUUACAGUAAUGACCAACGUGACACAGAAGGAAAAUUCUGUGACAAUAUGAGAAAGGCAAGUGAUGUUUUGCCCAUUCGAUGGGUUGGUUGUGAAGAUGUAAAGCCCUUUGGAGGAGAUAAGUCCUGCCGGCAUCCUAUUUUGCAGAGCCUUAUGCCUCACCCUGGAUUCGAAGCACUGAGAUCUGCCAGCCACUUUUCCAAGUCAGGAGCUGAAAACAUCUGCAUGGAGCGGGACUGACACAUCUUGGGCAUGGUGCUGGGGAGAUAAAUAUGACAAAGGGAGAAGAAAAAGUAAUACCACCUCACUUUUUCCUCUCUCCUUUUUUUUCAGAUGGUAGGUUUUGCUCCCUUCCUUGUUGCAGAGGUAAUGGAGGGCAGCAGUGGCGUGCCCAGGAUGCCUUUGGGGUCAUGGCAGCUGCUGUGACUAAAGGGGAGCGUGGUGGGCUGGCUGGAUCAGGGAGUGUGCU